rnacentral:sRNA from 1 species
AUCCUCGAUCUGCUGGGGGCAGAUAUAAUGGAUGUGGCUGUCAAAGCCGCCUGCGGUGAGGAUUUUGCCCUCUCCUGCGAUGGCCUCGGUGCCGGGGCCGACAAUGAUGUCGACGCCCGGCUGGGUGUCAGGGUUGCCUGCCUUGCCGAUUUUGGCGAUGCGCCCGUCCUUGAGGCCCACAUCCGCCUUGUAGAUGCCGGUGUGAUCCACAAUCAGCGCGUUGGUGAUCACGGUGUCCACAGCGCCUUCGGCGCGGGUGGUCUGGGCCUGGCCCAUGCCGUCGCGGAU